GCGACUCCAUCUCCGGGGGCCCCUCCUCACCGGAGCCCCUCUCGGAGAACCUCCGGCCGGCUCCUCCUCGCCGGCACGCCCGUCUCCACCGGAACCACGCCGUCUCCACCGUCACCUUCGUGCGAACUGCGGCUUCACCGGCCCGUCUCGUCACCGUCGGUGAGCCCCUCCUCGGGCUCCUCCCACCAUGUCGAUCUCCUCGCCGUCUCGGUUCCGUUCCGGCAAACGGGACCUCGAUCCGUCGACAAUAGACUCCGGUAGGAGGAUUUGAACUUUCGGUUCUUCUAGGUGGAGUUAGCAGAGAGAGUUCUUUGUCUCUCUGUUAGCAGAGAGGGAGAUGAGUGUUGUGAGAGAAAAGAAAAAUGAAUAAAAACAAAUGAUGUAUUAA
rnacentral:lncRNA from 1 species